UACGUAGGGGGCAAGCGUUGUUCGGAAUUACUGGGCGUAAAGGGCGCGUAGGCGGCACGGCAAGUCAGGAGUGAAAGCCCUGGGCUCAACCCGGGAACUGCUUUUGAAACUGCCGAGCUAGAGUGCGGAAGGGGCAACUGGAAUUCCCAGUGUAGCGGUGAAUGCGUAGAUAUUGGGAAGAACACCUGAGGCGAAGGCGGGUUGCUGGGCCGACACUGACGCUGAGGCGCGAAAGCCAGGGGAGCGAACG
rnacentral:rRNA from 1 species